rfam:Streptomyces sp. Ncost-T10-10d genome assembly, contig: Ga0115254_1188
ACGUCCUGCCUCGUGAUCGUCUUCUCAACCUUCACCGGGCAGGCGGAUGAAGGGGGGACCCUCGCCUGGACGUGACAGGCGAGGGUCCUUC